AGGAAAGGAGGGGGACGCGGAUCUCCCCGGGAGGAGGUGAGGAGGGGGACGCGGAUCUCCCCGGGAGGAGGAAUGGUGUUUUUUACAUUGACUAAGUGAAGUGCUACAAUGCUUGAGCAAGACAAAAAGAUUAAAGUUGCAGUAAAACCAUCAGACACAAAGCUCCAAAGAACUGCAGACAAAGAAUACACAGAUCUCAAACGACUGCUUAAUCUCUUGAAUGUUCCAGCAAGCAAGCAGCAGUUGCCAGCUCUAAGUUUUGACAAAGGCCGUGGAAUUACAACAAAGUCACAGCAACAUUCCAUCCAGGGAAAGCAAAAUGGUGGAAGCCGAUGUGGGGAGCAGCAGCAACAGUCAACUGAGGCUGUGGAACUUGAAGCUUUUAGUGUCAGCUAUAAGAAUGAAAGAAAUUUCAGUUGUCACCCCCACCACAAGCUGUUUCUGGAAAUUUUCACUGCACUGGUGAAGCAGAGACUUACAUACAGAGAAUGGGUAGACCGAGUCCCUCCUGCUCAUUUUCUCCGCGUGUUAAUUUGCCUGCGGUUAUUAAUGAGGGAUCCAUUUUAUCAGAAAAUUUUCAUUCAGCUUGGAGGUGUUGAGAGCUUAGCACAGUACUUGGAAACAGUGGUACAAGGCUACCUUGGAUAUGGAGGUCAACAGUUUGUCAUUGACAGAUUAGUCACCGUGACUUAUAUUUUUCAAAAACUGGCAGCUGUAGUCGAACAAAGAGAACGGAUAAUUUCAUGUGGAGCAUAUAAGACCCUGGUAAAGCUACUGGCAGCCAAGGACAAUAAUGUAUUACUGGGUGCUCUCCUUGCUCUUACCAGCUUAGCUGAAAGUCCUGAGUGCAGAGUGAAGAUAGGGGAACUUACAAUUGUAGAAAACCUGUUAGUAAUUUUACAAGAAUAUGACUUGUUAUCCAAAAGAAUGACAGCUGAGCUGCUUCGUCUACUCUGUGCAGACGCUCAAGUGAGAGAACAGGUUAAGGUCUAUGAAGGAAUUCCUAUUCUCCUCAGCCUGUUGCAUUCCGACCACCUCAAACUGCUAUGGAGUGUUGUUUGGAUCCUGGUUCAGCUGUGUGAGGAUCCAGAUACCAGCACUGAGAUUCGUUUAUGGGGAGGCAUCCAGCAACUCCUGCACAUUCUCCAAGGAGAUAGAAACUUUGUGUCUGAUCGUUCUUCAAUUGGAAGCUUGUCCAGUGCUAAUGCUUCAGGGAGAAUUCGGCAACUUCAAUUGUCUGAAAAGCUGAGUACUCAAGAAAUUCAAGAAAAUAUGCUCUCAUUGCAAGAAGCAUGCUGUGCUGCCCUUACUGAACUAGUACUCAAUGAUACGAAUGCUCAACAGGUUGUACAGGGAAAUGGCAUUUAUGUGAUAGGAAAGUUAAUUCUACCAAGCAAGCAAAAAAAUGCACCAAAUGCAGAUAUUUUGCAGUGCUAUGCAUUUAGAGCCUUGCGUUUUCUCUUCAGCAUGGAAAGGAAUAGACAACUGUUCAAAAGGUUAUUUCCUUCAGAUGUGUUUGAGAUGUUCAUUGAUGUUGGACAUUAUGCACGUGAUAUAGGUGCAUAUGAAAGCUUAGUAAAUAAGAUGAACUCUUUACCUGCUAAUGAACUGAAACAAAUCACUGAAAAUAUUGAAGGAAUUAACCAAAAUAAAGCUCCAACAAAAUUUAUUGGUAAUUAUGCCAUUUUAGACUACCUUGGAAGUGGAGCAUUUGGGAACGUUUUUAAGGUUCGGAAAUACAGUGGGCAGAACCUGCUUGCUAUGAAGGAAGUUAAUUUGCACAAUCCAGCUUUUGGAAAGGACAAAAAGGAUCGUGACCACAGUGUGGAAAAAAUUGUGUCUGAGUUAACUAUAAUUAGAGAACAGCUCCAUCAUCCAAAUGUAGUGAGAUAUUACAAGACUUUUGUGGAAAAUGAUAGAUUGUAUAUAGUAAUGGAACUGAUUGAAGGAGCACCCCUAGGUGAGCACUUUAAUUCCCUCAAGGAAAAACGUCAAGGGUUUACAGAAGAACGAAUAUGGAAUAUAUUUAUACAAAUAUGCCUUGCACUGCGUUAUUUGCACAAAGAAAAAAGAAUUGUUCACAGAGAUCUAACGCCCAACAAUAUCAUGUUGGGUGAGCAAGACAAGGUAACAAUAACUGAUUUUGGCCUUGCAAAACAGAAGCAAGAGAACAGUAAGAUGACUUCAGUUGUUGGGACUAUCCUGUAUUCCUGUCCAGAAAUAGUGAAGAGUGAGCCAUAUGGCGAAAAAGCUGAUAUCUGGGCUGCAGGAUGCAUUCUAUAUCAAAUGGUGACAUUGAAUCCUCCUUUCUACAGCAGUAACAUGCUCUCACUGGCAACAAAGAUUGUAGAAGCAGCCUACGAGCCAGUACCAAAAGGACUCUACUCUUACCAAGUGCAAGAGACCAUCAAAAGGUGCUUGACUCCUGAUUCUGAAGCGAGGCCUGACGUCGUGGAAGUGAGUGCCAUGAUUUCAGAUAUCAUGAUGAAAUACAUGGAUGAUUUAUGCACAAUGCAGAUAACCAUGGAGAAGAAGCUUGAUCGGGAGAGGCGGCGCACACAGAAGUAUUUCAUGGAAGCUAACAGAAAUGUUAUGACCUAUCACCAUCAGCUCUCCAUGAUAUCGCGGGAGUAUUAUGAUAAGUCAAGUUUGGGGAGCAGCAGUGGAACUGGCAGUCUGAAGAGUGAAUCAUCGGAAACUACUGGCAGCCCACUGGACGACUUGCACAGGUUCCAUCUUAAAGAUGAUGAGAGACUGAGCGAUGCAGUAUUUCUUGAGAAUAUUAACUCUGCCAUAAACAUUGAAAAAGAGAUCGAAGAUGAGUUAAAUAUUUCAGAUCAUUCAAGCAGCUCAAGCCCAAGCCCGAUAAAAGAUUCUACUCUGAGGCAUACUUCUCCCUCUAAUGUGUUUAGUCAGGGACUACUGCUGCCGUCAGGGUCCAGAGCAGAAGUCGUGCACUUCAACAGCAGCCUUCAGGCUUAUUCCCUUGAAAGCUCUGACUGUCUCAAUAUAACAGCUACUUUACCAAGAAGUAUGAGUUAUAUUGGCAUAGAGAGUCAACAUGAGGCAGAGAGCACCAUUGAGAGUGUCCAGACUAGCUGCAGCACUGUCUGGCACAGUAAUUGCAAGACAUCUGAGUACAAGACCUUUCAAAGGAUUACGAGGAGUGCUGAGAGGAUCAUCCAAGUCUGCCUUCCACCCACCUCAGAUAUUUAUCGGGAGCUCUGCAUAUGCAGGGUGCUUAACAUUGUCAAUGACCCCUCCCACCCUCCCAUCCGGCCCACUAUCCCUUUAACACCCUAUCAUCAGGCAGGAGGCACCAUAUCAUUAGGACAAGAACUGUGAGGAUGGGAAACACCUUCCUCCCCCAGGCUGUGAGCCAACUGAACUCCUUGUCACCACCCAGGUCUCAUUACAAAUGAAGCACCAGUAACAUUACACUGUUUACUUCUUGGCUUGUGUCAUAAAUGCACCUUAUUACUUGUUAAUUUAUUUGUGGUAAUAUUACCUUAGUGUUACGUGUCAGUUAUAUGUACUAUGUUGUGUACAGUACCUAGGUCUGGAGGAAUGUUGUUUUGUUCAGAGAAUGUUGUUAUCUAUCAGUUGAAUGACAAUACACUUGAUCUUGUCACAAUGAAAGCUUUCAGGAAGUUACACUAAUAAUUUUUUUUAAAGAUUCUCAAUUAAAAUUCUCAGCCUCUUGUUACAUUGCAUUAUAGCCAUACCUUUACAAUUUUCUGAGUUUCGGCCCCUUGUAUAUCUCCCAUACUUCUCCACAUAGGAGUUUUGAAUGAAUUUCCAGUUAUCUGGUCCUCAAUCACUGCUGAGAAUUAAAAGCAGGUUUAAUAUCACUAAUGUACAUUACUGUGCAAAGGUCUGAGGCACCUAGCUAUAUACUUUAUAUGUUGGGAAUGAUGAGGGUGCAGCGCCACGGGAGGGGUAUGGGACAGGUGGCAGAGAAGGAAUGCCUGGGGUAAGGGGCGCCCAGAUGCAGAUGCACCCAGUCCUGACACAGCAGGCAAGAUCAUUUGAUUCCAAACAAUUAGCUUAUUGGUCAUUAGAAAAUGUCUCUCUGGUGUUUUCCACUCCCUCCCCUCUCCCUUUCCCUUUUCCCAACCAUGAUUCCCUUCUCCCUGCCCACUUCCCACUGUCGGUCCACAAUAGAGACCCAUAUCAGGUUAAUCGUCAUUCACUUAUAUCAUGAAAUCUGAUUUUUUAUUUUGGCAGCAGUACAGUGCAAUACAUAAAAUUUCUGUACUACUGUGCAAAAGUCUUAGGCAUCCUAGCUGUAUCUAUGUACUUAACAGAUUUGCACAGUACUGUAAGUUUGAGAUUUGUUUUACAGCAGCAUACAGUGUAAAAUUUGCUAUAAGUUACAAUAGGACAUAUCUACAAAUAAAUAAGUAAUGCAAAAAGAGAGCAAAAUAGUAUGGUAGUGUUUAUGGACCAUUCAGAAAUCUGUUGGCAGAGGGGAGAAGCUGUUUCUAAAACAUUGACUGUGUUUUCCUUUGAUGGUAGUAAUGACAGGAGGGCAUGUCAGAGAUUGUGCAGGCCUUUUAUGAUGGGUGCCACGUUUUUGAGAUAUUGCCUUUUGAAAAUGUCAGUGAUGGUGGGGAGGCUAGUGCCCAUGAUGGAGCUGACUGAGUUUACAAUCCUCCGUGCAGUGAUGCCUCCUUACCAGAUGGUGAUGCAGCCAGUCAGAAUUUUCUCCAUGGUACAUCUGUAGAAAUUUUCUGCAGCUUACGGUAACAUACCAAAUUUCCUCAUACACCUCCUUGAGACUGUCCUUUUUGACAAAGCUUUUAAUCACUCUUCCUCCUAAAAUCUCCUUUGUUCAGGUUGCUGCCCAUUCUUAUUCAAUUACAAUCAGUGAAGCACGUUAUGAUGUCUUCCUUUGUUCGAUGUUCCAUUCAAUUCUUUUCAAUUGAGUAUAAAGAGUAUUUUUUUUGCCAAGUUUCCCAGCCGUAGUGAAGAAAUAAAGAAUGGCCACAAACACAUGAUGAAAAAUGAGAGGAAUACAAUGCUGCGGCUUCUAUUAUUAGAUGAGAUCAAACAUUCUGAGUCCAAUGAAGAGUCAUUGACUGGAAACCUUGACUAUGCGUGUCUCUCUCCAACAAUACUGUGCCUGACUUGCAGACUGUUUCCAAUUCUUUGCAGAUGCGGACUUAUGUAAGGCUACUAUGGGAAGCGAGGGAGGAGAUUGUUGAGCAUUCAUGAGCACCAGGGCGGUCCACGCACCAGUGGGCCUGCUUGCUACAUGUGCAGGGACCAGACCUUCUCCCCGUCCUCAGUAGUUCAGCUUGAGUCCAAAAGGAAUUCAAUUUCCAUGUGUCACCAGCAAGGGGGGACUACAUGAGGCUUGUUUUUGGAGGGCCUGUGUGCUGGCAUAGGAGACUUGGACAUUCAGCUCUCCUUUCCUAGCCUGUGGCAAAAGCUGAAAGUGAGAAUGACGAGCACUACCCAUAACACUACCAAAAACCAACCAUUUGAUACACAUAAGAGACAUAGAUAGAGUGGAUAGCCAGAGACUUUUUCUUAGAGCAAAAAUAGCUAAUACCAGGGAGCAUAACUUUAAGAUGAUUGAGGGAAAGUAUAGAGGUAAGUUUUACGAGUAAGUUUUUUUAUACAGAAAGUGGUAGGUAUCUGCCAGAGGUAAUGGUAAAGGCAGAUGCAUUAGGAGUAUUUAAGAAACUCUUUGAUAGUCACACGGUUUAAGAUCUUACAGUUUAAGAUGUUGGUGGUGAACCUCAGCAACUUCUGGCUGGUGACUAACAACAGGGAUAGCAACUAAAUACUUUGUUAACCAUACUUUUUCUGGCAAACAAUCAUCGCAAGUAAUCUGUAACUUUCUUUUGAACAUGGAGACAAUUCGAUGUGGCAGAACUCCGGCAAGGCAAGGUGGCGGGCCCUUUGCCAAGAGCGUGGAAGAACAUGAAAGAUCAAGCACAGGCCAAAUCAAAGCCAUGGUCACAGUGCAUACUAAUAUGACUGAACAUGAUGUUCGGACAAAAAUUUACGGGCCAAAUCAAGAUGGUGAAGUUUUGCAUAUCCAAGUGGCAGAACCCAUUGUUGGGAUGGAGAUUUAAGUGGUGGGCCUCAUUGAAAUGGUCAGGGUGCCAGGGCCCAAGGAAGCGGCAGACUGAUUCACUUUGCUGCACAAAGCAGCGGAACCCAAUGUUCGGACAGAUAGUUAAGCGCCGGGCCAGAUUGAAAAGGUCAAGGUAUUGGGGCCAAGGCGAGAUACGAACUGGUUUAGAUCACUGAUCCAUGAUAUUUUCUUGGCUUUGCACUGAACUAUGGGAUCUUCUUUGUAGACAAGUUCAGAAACACUAUUUGCUUGCAGUUACUGUUUGCCUGAGUUUAUUUUCAUUGGAAAUUGGGUAUUCGACAGUCUUUUUUAUUGGUUAUUUAUUCUUUUUUUUAUGGGCAUGGUGUGGUUUUUAUUCUCUGCACGUUGGGUGUUGGCCAGUCUUCUUUUUACAUAUAUGUAUAAAAUAUAUCUUUUUUUGGGUGCCGUUGUUUCACAGUUGCCUGUUAGGAGACAAAUCUCAAGGUUGUGUAAUAUAUACAUACCUUGAUAAUAAGUGUACUUCGAACUUUGGUUCGAGACCAAAUGGUUGAAGGGAAGCAGCUGUUCUUGAACAUAAUUGUGAGGUUAUAAUAAUGAAAUUUAAAAAUCUAAAUGUUCGUAGAACAAAAUCAGUGGAUAUCUAACAACAUAAGAGGCUAUUGUCAGGGAAUGCAUAUUGGAGGAGAGUGAGGAAGAAAUGUUUUCACCCAGAAGAUGCUGGAAUGCACUGCUCAGAGAAAUUAUGUAGGCAAAGACUCUGACAACAUUGAAGUACUGCUUAGAUAAACAACUGAAGACUAAGGGCCAAAUGUUGGAAAAUGGGAUUAUUAUAGAGAAGUGUUUAAUGGUUUGCAUGGACUUGGUAGAUCAUUGUUUCGUGCUACAUGACCUCACUUGGAGCAAGCAAUUAAUACAGUCAUUUCUAAAAAUUAAAAAAAAAUGCAGGUAGGUACAAUAUCUCCUUUCAGUGACCAAAAAUCAUAAUGCAGCUAUCAACUCUGCUGAUUUCUCUUAAUAUCACUUACUAACAUAAAAUCUCUGAAUAUCAAUUUCAAAUUUAAAAGUAACAAGUCUCAUUUAACACACCAAACCUCUUAACACAGAACUGCUCGUCAUCUUAAUUUAUAUUCCCAGUCCUGAGAGUCAAACAUUGUGUUAUUGUAUGGGCCUGCGAGACGUGCAGCAGCACUAGAAGUUCAAAGUCAAUUUAUUAUCAAAGUACGUAUGUGUCACCAUAACCUACCCUGAGAUACAUUUUCUUGUGGGCAUUCACAGUAGAAAAAGGAAAUACAAUAGAAUCAAUGAAAAACUACACUCAAAUUCAAUGCUAGGUUGUACUAAACUUCCAAUUGGUAAAUUGUCCUAAUUUUGAAUAAGCUAUUAACAUUGGAAAAAGCCUGAAAUACUCAAUGUAAGACUCAAUUCAAACAAAUAUAGAAAGGAUAAAUAGUUCUCCCCUGCGGAGUUAAUCUUCAAGUAAAUAGAUAUAAUGGCUUUGUUCAUCAUCUAGUUAGUAGUCAGACUGUACCUCUCUAGUUAACAAUCAGAAUGAUAAAGACAUUCAAGUAAACUAGUUGCUUUUAUUUAAUGUUCUAAUGUUUGUUUUACUUUGACCAUGGUUUUGUUUUACAGACCUGGAAGAAAGACAAGGCAUUCAAAUACCAAGUCUAGACCAGCAUCUGCAGGAAUAGCAGUGUCUCAACGGAAAGUACGACAAAUUAGUGACCCAAUCCAACAGAUUCUCAUUCAGCUGCAUAAGAUCAUAUAUAUCACACAG